rnacentral:tRNA from 1 species
GGGAGUGUGGCGCAGUUGGUAGCGCAGCGGACUUUUAAUCCGUUGGUCGUGGGUUCGAGCCCCACCGCUCCCA